rnacentral:misc_RNA from 1 species
AACGCACAUUGCGCCCUUUGGUAUUCCUCAGGGCAUGCCUAUUCGAGCGUCGUUGAACCUCCAGAAACGGUGUUGGAGAUGGCAGUGCCUCUCUCAAAAGCAUGACGCAAGCAGCGCCGCAGCACAAUGCGCACUGCAUCCUCUUGACCUCGAAUUAGGUAGGGAUACCCGCUGAACUUAA